GGAGCCGGUCCCAAGCCCGGAUAAAAGAGGAGGGACCACCAUGUCCAUUUAUAUUUUUGUAAUGUUCAUUGUGUGUUUUUGUUUUAAAAUGUAAAAGCAGGUAAUUAGGAAAAGAUAACCCCUUUAGGAAAUGCAAAACAUCUUCCCUUAUUAUAGUUGAAUUGUAUUGAUACUAACAACUGGUUCCCAACCCCUUCUGUGCUUUGUGAGCUACUCUCACACAUUUUUCUAUGUAUGGUUGACGAAUGAAAUGCUAGAGCUCCUACUUUCUGGAAUUAAAACUUUUGAAUUCAUAUGGUUGUAGCUUCAUCUCUUUCUCUCGCUCUACACUAGCAAUCGUUGAGAUAGAGCUAGUACUCUUCGCUGAUGCAUUGUGAUUUUUUCAUGCUUAUUUGGAGUAAUUUUGUCCCUGUUUUAUGUUCUGUUUUUUGAUUUUUUGUCAAUUCAAGAACCAUUACUAGCUUGAAUAUUAGCUAGCUCAUGAGAAACCAUUCUUUUUUUCCUUCUUGAAGGAGCUUAUGACACACUGCUAGGAAAAUUCUUUGUACCAUAUUUAGAGAUAAAUAAUGGACCAGUAUUUGUUCGUUGCCAUAUUGUACUAUACGAUGCAAUUAAAUUGUAUAGUGCUGCAUCUCCAACAGUAGCACCACCUAACAUCCACCCCUGACGCUCUGCCUUUUGGAGCAGAUGAAGGUUUCUCAUGGUCGGCUCAUCGCAGAGAAUACACGUGAACAUAUGGUUUGGUAGUUGGUACUUUAGAAGUUUAGGAGUCUAUAUAGUUUGGUAAUUGGUACUUCAGGAGUACUCGUUUUUCUCUGAUUGACAGAGUGGUUUGCUAGCAACUAAGAACUAACUGAACAAUCAACUGCAACUUUGUUUUUGAUAGAAAAACUGCUGCUUGGUCGUGUCAUAUUGCAUCAUGUGCCAAUUCUCUGACAUGUUUUGAAUCUAUGUCUAACUAAAUCCUUGUGUACAAGAUCUGCCCAGGAGACAAAAAGCUUGUUACUGGAGUUCUUGGGUAGCUAUCUUGCUGAGUCGAGUCUUCUGGAAUAGAGAUGUUUCUUGUUCUUGCCAUCAGUGGUUGCUGCUUCAUCAAUUUUUCUUUCUAGGCUGACCACUGGGCCAGACACUAAUCCUCGGAGCAAGGAAAUACAGAAACUGACAGGUUACAUGGCAGGAGAACUGAAGGAUUGCAUAUUUGCAUUAUAGCCAUACAUGAUUUGCAGCUCAAUAGAAAGGGUCCAUCUACACCAGCAAUUCACGACAAAAUUAUAAGCAACACAAGCUCCAAUGUUUAUCGACGAUGCUUCCUCCUGUAGAUGCUGGAACAGUUAUGGUGCUGGAAGCUGUUAAGAUGCUGGAGGUUUUAAAGCCUAAGCAGGAGCUUUCCAAAUUCGUUUAGGAGCUAGUCUAUCACAAGCAGGAGGCCAGGUAUACAAUCAUCUUUUGUAGAAUCAUACUUCUGUAUGAUAUCUCGGAACAUUGUGCCUUGAUCUGUUUGGCCACAUAUCUGUAGUGUUUAAUAUAUGUUGAUCCAUUGCCUUCA